AACGAACGCUGGCGGCGGGGCUUAGGCAUGCAAGUCGAGCGAGAAAGCCGCAAGGUGAGGUACAGCGGCGUAAGGGUGAGUAAUAGGUAGUCAACGUACCCACGAGACGCGAAUAAUUUUCCGAAAGGGAUUGUAAUGCGCGAUGAGACCACGCUCUUUUCGGAGAGAGGGGUCAAAGGUCGAGGGAUCCUUCGGGACCUGGCGCUCAUGGAGCGGACGACCUCCGAUUAGCUAGAUGGCGGGGUAACGGCCCACCAUGGCUGUGAUCGGUAGCCGGCUGAGGAGGGUGUUCGGCCACACUGGGACUGAGACACGGGCCC
rnacentral:rRNA from 1 species